rnacentral:rRNA from 2 species
CACGCAGGCGGUCGGAUAAGUCAGAUGUGAAAGCCCCGGGCUCAACCUGGGAACUGCAUUUGAAACUGUUCGACUAGAGUCUUGUAGAGGGGGGUAGAAUUCCAGGUGUAGCGGUGAAAUGCGUAGAGAUCUGGAGGAAUACCGGUGGCGAAGGCGGCCCCCUGGACAAAGACUGACGCUCAGGUGCGAAAGCGUGGGGAGCAAACA